rnacentral:rRNA from 1 species
GUAAUAGCUCACUGGUCGAGUCGGCCUGCGCGGAAGAUGUAACGGGGCUAAACCAUGCACCGAAGCUGCGGCAGCGACACUAUGUGUUGUUGGGUAGGGGAGCGUUCUGUAAGCCUGCGAAGGUGUACUGUGAGGUAUGCUGGAGGUAUCAGAAGUGCGAAUGCUGACAUAAGUAACGAUAAAGCGGGUGAAAAGCCCGCUCGCCGGAAGACCAAGGGUUCCUGUCCAACGUUAAUCGGGGCAGGGUGAGUCGACCCCUAAGG